rnacentral:rRNA from 1 species
AUGGCUCAGAUUGAACGCUGGCGGCGUGCUUAACACAUGCAAGUCGAACGCGAAAGGGACUUCGGUCCUGAGUAAAGUGGCGCACGGGUGAGUAACGCGUGGAUAAUCUGCCCUUAUGAUCGGGAUAACAGUUGGAAACGGCUGCUAAUACCGGAUACGCUCAAAAUGAACUUUUUGAGGAAAGAUGGCCUCUGCUUGCAUGCUAUCACGUAAGGAUGAGUCCGCGUCCCAUUAGCUUGUUGGCGGGGUAACGGCCCACCAAGGCAACGAUGGGUAGCCGAUUUGAGAGGAUGAUCGGCCACACUGGAACUGAAACACGGUCCAGACUCCUACGGGAGGCAGCAGUGGGGAAUAUUGCGCAAUGGGCGAAAGCCUGACGCAGCGACGCCGCGUGAAGGGAUGAAGGUUUUCGGAUCGUAAACCUCUGUCAGAAGGGAAGAAACUACGUUGUGCUAAUCAGCAGCGUACUGACGGUACCUUCAAAGGAAGCACCGGCUAACUCCGUGCCAGCAGCCGC